rnacentral:rRNA from 1 species
AGUCGAACGGACUCGUAUUGAAACCUAGUGAUAUAUGAGUUAGUGGCGGACGGGUGAGUAACGCGUGGGUAACCUGCCUUACACCGGGGGAUAACACUUAGAAAUAGGUGCUAAAACCGCAUAAGCGCACAGCUUUGCAUGAAGCAGUGUGAAAAACUCCGGUGGUGUAAGAUGGACCCGCGUCUGAUUAGCUUGUUGGCGGGGUAACGGCCCACCACGGCCACCAUCAGUAGCCGGCCCUGAGAGGGCGGACGGCCACAUUGGGACUGAGACACGGCCCAGACUCCUACGGGAGGCAGCAGUGGGGAAUAUUGCACAAUGGGGGAAACCCUGAUGCAGCGACGCCGCGUGAGUGAAGAAGUAAUUCGUUACGUAAAGCUCUAUCAGCAGGGAAGAAAUACUGACCUUACGGUCAGCAGACGGUACCUGAGUAAGAAGCCCCGGCUAACUACGUGCCAGCAGCCGCGGUAAUACGUAGGGGGCAAGCGUUAUCCGGAUUUACUGGGUGUAAAGGGAGCGUAGACGGUACGCCAAGUCUGAAGUGAAAUGCCGCAGCUUAACUGCGGAACUGCUUUGGAAACUGGCGGGCUGGAGUGCGGGAGGGGUAAGCGGAAUUCCUAGUGUAGCGGUGAAAUGCGUAGAUAUUAGGAGGAACACCGGUGGCGAAGGCGGCUUACUGGACCGUAACUGACGUUGAGGCUCGAAAGCGUGGGGAGC